rnacentral:rRNA from 1 species
CCUACGGGUGGCAGCAGUGAGGAAUAUUGGUCAAUGGGCGCGAGCCUGAACCAGCCAAGUAGCGUGAAGGAUGACUGCCCUACGGGUUUUAAACUUCUUUUAUAAAGGAAUAAAGUGAGCCACGUGUGCCUUUUUGUAUGUACUUUAUGAAUAAGGAUCGGCUAAUUCCGUGCCAGCAGCCGCGGUAAUACGGAGGAUCCGAGCGUUAUCCGGGUUUAUUGGGUUUAAAGGGAGCGUGGCUGGGUUGUUAAGUCAGUUGUGAAAGUCUGCGGCUCAAACGUAAAAUUGCAAUUGAUACUGGCAGUCUUGAGUACAGAUGAGGUAGGAGGAAUUCGUGGUGUAGCGGUGAAAUGCUUAGAUAUCACGAAGAACUCCGAUUGCGAAGGCAGCUUACUAAACUGACACUGACGUUGAUGCUCGAAAGUGUGGGUAUCAAACAGGAUUAGAUACCCUAGUAGUC